CGCGCGAGUAUUAGCAUGACAAUGCUACGCACGAGAACGCAUGUGUGGCCACGUUGGCGGGUUUGUUUAAAUGUGACUUCACAGGAGCAGUAAUGGAGAGACGAGGAACACUCCUGUGAGACCGUUUUCUGGAUUGUUGCACAUCUGAUAUAUAUUCUGACACUUGAUUGUAUUCAGCAGGGUUGUAGACUGGAAUGCCAGUUAGCCUUUGUGAUGGAAAUGAGACAUUUGCUGGAUUGUUUUCUAGAGCACAAGCCGCUUAUGAGUCGUUGCUGACAGGACGACCAGCUUCUUGGCAUUUCUUGAUGAUGGCCACUGUUGUUAAGACUGUGGUCUCCUGUAUUGGCCUUUAGUUGGACCGAGAGAGAAUACUAUUUCCUUGGCAUCAGAGGCUCCUUUGGUACAAACUGUGCAUCACUGGUUCAUGAACGACUAGGACAUGCAAGACGUGCAGCCCCAUCACUACCAACAAAAUGAAUACUCCCAACCAACAGGGCUCUUUUCAACCAAUUAAGUUGUGCUUCUACUCAAGGCA